rnacentral:tRNA from 1 species
GGCCCUGUGGUGAGUUAACAUAUUGAAUUGCAAAUUCAAAGAAGCAGCUUCAWUUCUGCCGGGGCUU